GAGGAAAGUCCGGACUCUAGUUAAUCAAAAUAUAGCUGUAUAGAAAACAGUAUAGGUAACUAUCAGGAAAGUGCCACAGAAAGAAACCGCCUAUAGACUAGACUUUAGGUAAGGGUGCAAAGGUAUGGUAAAAGCAUACCAGAAGUAUAAUUAGAAUUACUUGCUAGGCAAACCCCGUAUAAGAGCAAAGUUAUAAAUUUCAUUUUCUUAAGUUAUAUAUGUUAAAACAAGAUUAUAAUUUAUAUUUUAUAUCUCAUUACUGCAAAAAAUUAUAUGUAAAUAUAAAAAACAGAUUAAUAACUACCCUUAAUAACUUUAAUUUUUAUACAAAAUAAUAUAAACUUUAAAACUAUUACGAACAAAAUCCGGCUUAA
rnacentral:RNase_P_RNA from 1 species